AUUGAACGUUGGCGGCAGGCUUAACACAUGCAAGUCGAACGAGAAAAUGCCUUCGGGCAUGAGUACAGUGGCGGACGGGUGAGUAACGCGUAGGAACCUACCUGGUAGUGGGGGAUAACUCGGGGAAACUCGAGCUAAUACCGCAUACGCUCUACGGAGGAAAGAGGGCCUCUAUUUAUAAGCUCUCGUUAUCAGAGGGGCCUGCGUUGGAUUAGCUAGUUGGUAGGGUAAAGGCCUACCAAGGCGACGAUCCAUAGCUGGUCUGAGAGGACGAUCAGCCACACUGGAACUGAGACACGGUCCAGACUCCUACGGGAGGCAGCAGUGGGGAAUCUUGGGCAAUGGGCGCAAGCCUGACCCAGCCAUGCCGCGUGUGCGAAGAAGGCCUUCGGGUUGUAAAGCACUUUCAGUGGCGAAGAAAAGCCAGGGGCUAAUACCCCCGGGUCUUGACGUUAGCCACAGAAGAAGCACCGGCUAACUCCGUGCCAGCCGCCGCGGUAACAC
rnacentral:rRNA from 1 species